CACCACGCCAUCCUGCACCACAAGCGACGUAUCCUUUCCGAGCCGAGACCCAGUAGAUUAUCUCUCGACAACAGAAACAAAUCGUGAUUCAGAGAGAGAGAGAGAGAGAAAGAGGAGAGAGAAAAUGUCUUCAAUCGUCCUAUUCCUGGCCUGGAUUCGAAUCGAUAAGCACGAAUAAGUGGAAUUCUCCUUCAAUUUCCUCUGAUUUCUAGGGUUUUUGAUCUGGCCGUUAGAGAUUUCCGUUUUCUGUUUGACGAUUAUUCAAAUUCGAAAAAUCGAGCCAUUAACGGUUUUAAUUAGGAUCUUCUUUGUGUUUUGGUUUGGUUUGGUUUCUAGGGUUUUAUUUCGUUGAUCUGAUUUUGCGCAAUGAACGAUCCGUCACAGAUGAUGAACAAUCCACCAAUUCCUCCUCCACAGGUAAUGAAUAAUCCUCAUCAUACCCAAUUGAUGAUGAAUCAGCCGCCUCCUCUGACUCAACCUCCGCAGCCAAACCCUCAAAUCAUGGCUCAGUCUCAGCAGUUCAUGAUCAACCAAUCACAGCAGCAGCAGCAGCGGAGCUAUAAUAAUCGGAUGUGGCCGCCGCAUCAGACCUCGAUGGACAUGAUGAAGUUUCCUAACCCUAACCCUAACCUUAUGAUGAAGCUGCAGCAACAGCAGGGUGGUUUUGUUGGUUCAAAACCUCGUAAUUGGAAAGGGGGUAAAAAGGGAAAUAGUAAUGAUAAGAGAAGGAAGGAAAAGCCGGUUAUAAUAGCCGGUGGUAGCGGCAGCGGUUCCGGGUUAGUUGGUGGUGGUGGUGGUGGAGGGGGUUAUAAGCCUCCUACAUUAAACGAGCUACAGCAUCAGAAUCGAAUUAGGGCGAGGAAGUUUUACCCUAAUAAGAAGAAAUAUAGUGGUGGUGGUACUAACAAUAACAGAUUUGCUCCUUAUGCUCCUCGCAACACGACUUCGUUUAUAAUUAGGGCUAAGAAAUCGGGUGGGAUUGCGUCUCUAGUUUCGCCUUGUCCUGUGACACCUGCGGUACUUCCAACGCCGAUCUUUUCACCAUCUAGAGAGGUUUUGGGUGAUAUGGCGAAGGAGGAGUGGGGGGUCGAUGGGUAUGGAUCCAUGAAGGGGCUAAUUAGGCUGAGGAAUGAAGCGGAUGGACAUGAGGAUGAUGAGGAAGAGGAAGUGGGAUCGAGCGAGAGCGAUGUAGAAGAGCAUGUUGAGGUGGAGAGGAGGUUGGAUCACGAUUUGAGCCGGUUCGAGAUGAUUUAUCCCAACUAUGGUGUGGAUUACAAUAAUGUUUUAGAGAACAGGGUGGAUGAUCAGGAUAGCCAUAUAGCUCAAUUGGAAGAUGAGAAUUUGAUUUUGAAGGAGAGGCUUUUCUUGAUGGAGAGGGAGUUUGAUGACUUGAGGAGGAGGUUGCAGUAUCUUGAGAGGCAGAAGCAAGGAGUGGAUGGAGUUAAUGAGUUUGUGGAGAAUGUUUCUGAUAAUGAGAGUGAGGGGAAUAAUGAUGAGGUGGUGGAAGAGAAUAACGAAGAGGGUGGGGAAGUUGAUGCAAAGGAGGAGGAGCAUAAUACUGAGGGACAAGAGAAUAAUGGGUGUGUAAGGGAUGUUUGUAUGGAAGAGAGCGCAAAUGCAAAGCAAGAAGUUAUUGAUGUGAAUAUGUCUAAGGAUGGAGGUGUUGGAAUUCACGGCAAUAAAAGUGUUGGUAUGGAAGAGUUUGUGGUUGCAGAUAAGGAAGUGAUUGGUGAGAAUCAGUUCAAGGGUGAAGGAGUGGGGAUUCACGGUUAUGAUAGUGUUUGUAUGGAAGAAGUUGCUGAUGCACAGGGUGAAGUGCCUGCGGAGGAGCAACCUAAGGAUGAUGGAGCGGGGAAUGGAAGCUCAGAGAAGAGCAUUGGUGACGGUGACGUGUUUAAUCGUCCCGUGUUACUAUCUACUCUCGUAUUUAGGACUACAAGAGUAGUUUCUUGGAACAAUCCAAGUCAAGUGGAUGCUCAAGAAGAUUAGAGCGCCACAGGUGUUUAAUCUCCCCUUAAGAAAUCCUCAGGUUCCACUCUGGUGAGGAAAGGCCCAAGAAACAUGGCUACUGUUGGCUUUAACAAAAAUCAUGAAUCUCGCUGGUUCCUGGUUGAAAGAAUCAACCAAAUAUUGUGUCUCGACUCGGUACUUGUUGAAGAAGGGUAUGCCACGGUUAAUGGGAUACUGAUUAUUCCAUGUUCUUCGGAGUCUGAAGUUGGAGACGGUCUAUGUUGGAUACCUUUCUACGUACCAGGGAGACCAUCAAAUGAGAUUAUGGAGCAAGGCACAAACUCUUGCAAUAUAGUUUUAUUGGAUCUAUGGCCUAGUUUUAUUGAAUCUAUGGCCUUUACUAGUUUGGAAUCGUGCUACAUGCAGAUAGCUGUGUUACCGUGCAUCCCCCGGUGGCCAUUACUUUGGGUCCAAGAUGAUGUUUGUUGCCUCAACUCUUACUUUAAUGUUAAAUUGAAGUCUAUUGUUUGGUGACAAA